CUUGGACUUAGCUCCCAUCCUCCAUCACAGCACAGGAGGCUCGUUACAUUGUGCAGCGUUUGCGGAGCCUCCUGCUGAAGUGGAGGGUUUGAACCUGUAAUUGGUGCUGGCCCUACACAGGGUAGGGAGAGCUACAUGGUGUUGGAAACAGGAGGGCGAGGGGCUCGCUGCCUUUACUGGAGACAGUGGCUGGGAUGUCCUGCUCAGGGCAUCAUCCCCACCCUGCAGCAUCAGCAGUGCCUGCAGUGGUGCUUUACCAUGGAUCCAAUUCUUGUGUCCCUUCUGGGUGAUGGGUUGUGCUCUGCAGCAGCAGCACAAGGAAGGAAAGUGUGAUUGGUGAGAUGGGGCCACGGCUGCACGUUAAAGGCUCUGAUAGCAAUCACCGUGAGCAGAUGAGGAAGCGUUGCAGUAAGCUGCGCACUGAGCUCAGACCAUGCAGCCCCUCCAGUGUGCCCAGCUGCUCCUCCUGUCUGCCCUUCUCGCCCUCUGCUUGCACUUCGGGCACGCGGGGGAAAACAACACCGUGACAGAUGGGAUACAAGACCCACGGUGCGGCAGCCCGGCCUUCCUGCCCCUCGUUCUGGGGCUGGCUGCAGCCUUCCUCCUGCGGCUGUGCUGAGCUGGGCUCCGAGACCCCCUGCAGGCCGGCAUCCCCCUGCCACGGAGCUCCACCACCGGGCCCAGCCAGCUCCUUGUCCCCAUGUCCCUGCAGCCUCCAGGAAGACCAACUCCAAGCACAACCCGCGCUGCGAAGCUCUGAGAAAUAAAGUGCGGAGGCUCUGA